CGUGUUUGUGUAGGAUGUUUUUCAAUGUAGAGAAAAAGACAGAAAUCCGCUACUUUCGAGAGAUGCAGCUCCUGGGUCGGAAAUACUGCAAAUAGUCACUUAAAAAGAAAAAGGAACGCGGCUUAUGCGAAUAUUUCUUACAGAUUAUUCUGUCCUUCAUUAAAAAGAGGGGGAAAAAGGCAGGGGCAACAACGCGGGGGGAAGAGAUGAUGUGGAUGUUGCCCCAGCCGUGAGGCGCUUCACUACAGUUUCGCCUCCGUCGCUUUACGAACUCCAGCUUGCCGUCACUGCGCUCUGUGGCGCUCAUGAACCGAAAGUUCUCGCGAGAACGAGAGGGAUGCGCUGUUAUGAUCUCGGCCAUCGAACGGGAUUUUCCGCUGCUUUACAAAACAAAUACCUGGCGCCUGUAAAUUCCAGAAUGUAUUGUUCAGGUACGUUUAGCCUCCAGGCAUUCAGAAGAAGAAAGGAAGUCCAACCGCCUCGCCUGGUUUCCAGCAGUUCCAGGUGUCUCUGUUUAAACUGUGCCUUUGCUGUUGAAAUGACUGCAACAGAAGAGAGUCUUUGUCUUGAACCUCAUACAAUGGAGGCGAGAAAGAGCAUUGAAACUCGACCACAUUGUUAAUUAGCUACUCGAAAUAAAACCGUUGCCUAAAUGAAACACGAACGUCUGUGCUUCUGUUUUACAUACAGCAAAUUAUGAAAUUAUAAAAUGUGCUCACAAUGUAGGGAAAACAGGAAUCUGCUUUGGGGGAAAAAUGCAGUACAGGCGGCUAAAUUAACACAUUAAGCCACGUCUUAAAAAUAAACCUAAAGUCUUCUGUGUUGUUUAGGGUUAGGGGAUAGACAAUACCAUUUGCGCAGUAGACUACAAUAACAAAAUACGUCAGUGGAAAAUCAUGUGUGGGUGAUUAUUAGGGAUGAGAUUACAUUUGUGAUUGUUUACUAAAAUAUGCAUUUACUGUUUCAUUAAUUCAGGUAUGUUAAUGUGUUUUGUAACAUUUAUAACCUUCUAUGAAACUCUUAAGAGGAAAACAGAACCUCUUUCUGACACGAGAUUCAUCUCCGCCACUCUUAUGGCUGUUGAAACGUUUACAAACAAUCUUUGGCCAUGUGGCGUUUUUAGAAUUCUGGUACUUGUAGUCUCCUGUGCCUCUACCGUCUUUCCUUUAGCCUGCAGUGACGACUACAUUUCCCAGAACGUCUGCGUCAUCAGCUGAUUGCCGCUUGUGUUUUUCGGAUGUGAUGAUGGCAAUAAAGGACCCUGCGGACCGUUUUUUUUUUCACCAGACGAUCUUUUGGGUACACUGCUGGAAUAGAGAUGACCUCUGACGGCUAGACGAGCACAGUUUUCCUUGACUGAUUUUUACUUUUUAGAUAUUGAAGAGACUUUCAUAACAAACUCUUCACAUUUUAAAUAGGUAAGUUUAUGAUUUAUAUUAUGACGUUAAUUCUAUUCUAUUCUAUUCUAUUCUAUUCUAUUCUAUUCUAUUCUAAUAAUGAAUAUAAAAUAUGAGUAUGAAACACAUCUUUCGACAUUUCAUUAUAAUGUAUGUAUUUACAUAUCCCGCGCAAAUAAUGCAAAAUAUAUUAUUUGUACACUUUUAUCUAAAAUUCUUGAUAUCGAGUUAUCUGUUGUCAACAGUGAGGCAUAACUGCGA
ensembl:lncRNA